rnacentral:piRNA from 1 species
UGUGUGUUUUAAAGGCUGUGGGUUGCUGU